UUUGAGGAACCUCCAUACUGUUGUCCAUAGUGGCUGCACCAGUUUGCAUUCCCACCAGCAGUGUAUGAGAGUUCGGGGAAAGGGAUUUUUAUGUAUAAGACCCUAAAGAGAGAUAUGAGAGAGAUGGAGGGAGCCAGUUGGUAGCUACCCCAUGACAAGGUCUGAACUCUAUGGAAAAACGGGCCUGGGCAGAAAGGGUGGGAUCUGGUUUAUGAGGGAUUCAGUACCUUGAUACCCAGCAGUACAAGCUCUUUAAAGGCCUUUAUGGGAAAGUGCAAUGUAGUCGGGGAGUCGGACAUUCUUCCCGCUUCUGCAUGGUUCCACAGGGAAGAUCAAAUGUUUAUAAAGCAAUAAACAGAGUUUGGGUGCUUCCAAGAAUGCCAUUCCAUGUGGCCUGAUUACCCUGUAUAUUUAGAGAGUGAGGAAGUUAUUUUAGGGACGUUAGUAGCUGUCAACAUUAGGGAUUGGCCAGUGGGGGGGUGGGACUGAGUCUGAACCAGCCUCCAGAGACAGCACAGGGGUGGUCCAACCAGGAGGCAAUAGGAAGAAGGCUUGGCAGGGGGUCAGAGUUCAGUAUCCGGCUGGAGAUAGUCUACUACUGGUAGCUAUUCAAUGAAAGAGUGGACAUCGAGUCAUGGGAAUUUGGUACAGGGAUUAUACCAAGAGAGGAAAUAGUAACAUUCCAGGUAAAGAGGAAAGAGCAUACAGAGUAGGAAUCCAAGAUGUAGCUCAGGAAGGCACAGGGAGGAGCCAAAUAGAAUCCAGAAUGGAUGUAAUUAUAAGGUAAUGAGGGCUGAAUCCAGUUACUGGAAAGAACGAGCCUUGAGAGUAACUAGCCGAAGGCUGCAUUUAGUUCCUCUUCCUAGGACAUGUCUGGCAGCUCAGAGGGAGGUGAAGAGGCUGUUUACUAGCUAAACAGGCAGGUGGGUGGCAGGGGCAGCGAGUCAGGCAGGUCUUCACUGUUGAAUUACCAAUAAUCUCCGAGUGUCUGAAUCCACCAACAAGCAAGCAGGGCCCAAAUGGAGAAAGCCUGUUUGCAACAGCCCUUAUAAGAGACUUCUGUUGUUCUUGUCUGUCUAGCACCUCUUCUCCUUCUGCUGCCAACGGAACUACUUUUUAGUGGGGAACCCCCAACUUCCGAGAGUAGUGAGCGUGUGACCUGAGCCCAGUCAAUCAGAGUGCUCCAUUUCCUUGGUUUGAGGAUGGGCGGGAAACCUAGAAAGGCCAAUCAGAUUCUUCCUUGAGAUUUGAUAUUUCAGUGAGUAGUUGGGGGGAGCAGAGCUCUCUCUCAAUCUUGGGAUCACAAGCUGUAAAGACGAUGUAGACUGGAGUUGCUUUGUGUCACCCUUCCUGGAUGCAUGGGGAAAGCCAUCUGCAGUAAGAGAGAAUGAGCCCAAUAUUAAGAGAGAAUCAGAAAUGAAGAGGGAUGAGAGAUAGGGUCCUAAGGACAUUUCUUGGGCACUAAAUCCAGUCACAGCCAUCCCUGCUCUUUUGUGAGCCAAUAAGUUCUCUUUUACUUAAGCCAGUUUCAAGCCAAUUUCACUUGGGGUUCUGUCACUUGCCACGUAAGGAAAUCAGACUAAUAUGUUUGCUUACUUACUGGUUCGUAGCAAUACGUAUCCGUUGCCUCCAUCCACAGCGAGCCUGAAAUUUAUGUUUGGACUGAAAAUACUUGCUCAAGUCUGACCUCCAUUGCUCUUCAUGAGAACACACUGACCACCUGGGCGAGCCUACGGCCAGUGCCGCUGUCUGGCAAAAUCUCGGUGAGAUCAGAUCUGUGUCACUGCCCAGCCCUGCUUUUGACAUCUGCCUGUGCUUAUGAGCUCCCUGCUCCCUCUUUCCCCGUGAUCCUCUCCGACUGUGGAUAAAAUCCUCAGUCCUUUCCACUUUGACUCUUCCUUUUUGCCAGUAAGUUUCAAACCUACAACUCAAAUCCUGACCUUUCUCCUGAAACCAGAUACCUGUUUUUAAUUUCUAUUUCCAGGUUCAAUGAUCAGCUCACACUCAACAAGUCCGAAACAGAACUCAUCAGUCUCCUGGUACUGUUGAUGGCACUACCAUUGUGCCAGUCAUCUGCCCUUGACAAUCUCCACAUUAUUUGGGCUGCCCUUCUUUCCCUCAUCCUCCAUGUACACUGAGUCAUGGAGCAAAAUCCCUUUCCUUCAUAAUGUCUGCGUGUGCCAGAAGCUGCGUGAGCUUCUGAAGGUACAACAAAAAUCAAGAUGUGAUCCCUGACUUGAAGAGCUUGGAUCCUACCAGAGGAACAAUCCAAGGCAGAAAGUGCUGAGUGCCACAUCAGCGGCAGCAGAGAAAGGACUAAGGGAGCCUGGUAGAGACAGCUUCAUGUCUGCUAUUGGGGAUCAGGGAAGAGUCGUGGUAGAACAGCCACAGUGCAUCAUGAGAAAAGAGACCCAGGAGAGCAACUGACUGAAGUGCUCUUGGAAUGACGACUUCAGUUUGCUGGUGCAUUGGGUCAAAGCACCGGGGAAACAUGGUUGAGGUCGGCACUGUGGAUGAGGCAUACAAAAGCCAGUUACAGCUCCAUUCUGUCUUGCUUUCCCAUAUAAUGGAGCUAGAAAACUGAAAUACCUGGUUCCCCAGCUCCUCUUGCAACUAUGCAUGACCAAUUUCUGGCCAGAGAGAGUAAAGAGAGGGCAACCCAGUGAAAGUCAUGGGAAAGUGUUUGAAAAGUGAAUAGGCUGUGCUGGCAUGCCCACCUUGGGCUUCCUCCCUCUCCCUUCUUCUUCCUAGUUAGGAACACACAUGCUUACUUGUGGGUAAAGCAGCCAUCUUGGCAACAUGAGACCUCCCCAAAAUAAGGAUAUGUUUGUAGGAUGACAGAGGAGAAAGAGAGAAAGAUCUUGCUUUCUCAGAUGACAUCAUCUGGCUGCUGUGAAGCCCUAGACUGUUUUCCCCACAUGCCUUAUGCAUGAAAAAAAAAAUCCCUAUUUAAGUAAAAAUCACUGUUAGUCAGAUUUUCUAUAACUUGCAGCUGAAUAAGAUGCUAACCUAUAAAGCCAUAUGUUAGAAAUACUGAGUACUAUUCUAGAUAAAUUGAAGUUUAUUCUAUAAGCAAGGAAGUUGCAGACAGCUCUUCACAUAGAGGUUAGGGGGAUGCUAUUAUCAGAAAAUUCUCUCCUUUUGCUGUUCACUGUCCAUGCCCUUCACGCUCAGUUUAGUGUCCACCUAUUCAUGGCAGCUUCUGUCUCUUGUCUUGGUCACCUUUAUCCUCACUCUCUGCUGGGCUAUUAUCAAGUAUAGCUUACUGACAUGUAUUGUUACUGAUUCUUCAUGAGUUUAUGUUAUGUAUUCCCAAUAGGACUGUAAUAGUGGUCAUGUUUUAUACUUCCUCUCUCUCUGUCUCUCUCGGUGCCCGGGCUGGAGAGAAGAACACAGUGGUUCCAUGCUCAGCAGAUGGGAGGUCGUCUAGCUUCCUAAGCCGGCACAAAGCAAUAAUAUUCCCGGGAAGAGAGACACUUGUUCUGAGGGCUCAAGUCAUCCUCUGGAGUCAUUGGCCAUUUCCUGCAGGCUGGGGAGGUGGUGACAGCCACGCAAAUGGUGGAGAUCAUCUUGAGUUUACCACUGGUCCAAGUCCAUGGAGUUGGGUUACUUGGAUAUGGGCACCCCCAUAUGUCUAACGCCUUCCAAGAUAUUAAGUGUCAUGUAAACGCAGCACUUCCCCUUCUGCCCAUGAGUGUCUGUUGUCACCUGUCAGAAGGCAAUGCCAUAGGCUGUUUAUUUGAUGUGGAGACAAGAUACCACAUCUUCCUGGAGCCUUUCAACUUCUUAUGUCGUGAUCCUGGACAGCAGCGGUGCUGCAAUAUCUGGAACUACCAAAGAACAUUAAUGGAAGAAUGAGGGAUUGUUGGGGACAUGACCUCAUAGGAUGGGUCUUGCACAUUUGGGUACAGCAGAGAUGUUUAAAGAUUUGGGAUCUAGAGGUACAAAUUGUCUUUCCAUGGUCAGAGAAAGGUCCUGGAGCUGGAUAGAACCUGACGGUCUGGUCUUCCCUACCAAAUUCUGCUGUGUGUAUGGGAAUGGCUACCCUUUAUGCUAGAGCCUGCCCCAAGGCUGGGUCAGCUCUACUUUAAAAACCAACUUGAAAUGGUGGAUGCUUGACAGACACUAUUAUCCCCACUCCAACGAUGAGAACACUGAGGUCAAGGAUUUGGCUCAAGGUCAUCCCGCAAGGUCUUGUUGGAGGCAGAAAUAGCAUCUGAGCCUUCACUCCUAAUCCAGCUCUCAUUGCUUGUUGCGGUGUGCCAUGGCUGAAGUUACACGAUGAGGCAUCUAUCUAAACCAGAGAGCCAAGUUCUGGGUUCAUGUUACGUCUUUCUAUUCCUUCACUUGGCCUCCCACUGCUGGCUCAGAGCAGUUCCUUGCUCUGAUCUAUUGGUUUUUUCUUAGGCUGGAGAGAGUUACCACACUUCCUGAUCCUGACCUCCAGUGGAGGAGGGUGGAACCUAACGACAUCAUUUGGAUCAUACUUGACUCCAGCGAUUGCUCCAAACUUGAAGAGCAGCGAGUGGAGUCUUCGUCUUUUAACCCUAUCAAGUGACCUGGUCUUUAAUGCGUGAUUGGCAAUAAUGGAGGAGAUUCAGACAACCAUCCCCUGUCACAGCUUCCUGCUGGAGAGGCAGCAAGAAGCUAGGACUUAAACUCUGAGGGCAGAGUAUCCUGGAUUCACACCCCGACUCUGUUGUUUCCUGGUUGUGUGGCCUUCGGCAAGUCCCUGAACAUCGCGGUAGCUCAAUUUCCUGGUUUGUAAGAUGGGUGAAAAGAAUUCCUUAGGAUGAGGUAAUCUGGGCAAAGUUCCUGUCAUGUAAGAGAUAUUCAGGAAAUAUUGGUUUCUUCACUCCUCCCCACCCCACACACGUGUUGAAUACAGUAACUUUAUUUUCACCACCACCUUACAAGAAACAAUGGCACGCCUAGGUAAGCUGAGUGACUCAAGAGCUAGCAAAAACUAAGUCUUUGGAGUUAGCUACGUUGCAUGCCAAGUGUAAAUUUCCCAUUAAUGGGCUUUAAGUAUAUUAAUGGGAGAAUUUUUGUGCUCCUUGGAUGGAAAAAAAAUACAACAUUUUGUGCCUCUGGUAUCUGAGAGGAAGCCCUGAGACAGAUGGGUUCCCAUAAGUUGUGCAUCGUGAAUGCAAGGAAACUUCAUUCUUCUUACACUACCAGGCAGUCGAUCCAAAAUGGGGAAAAACUCUUUACAUGAAAGCAUGCAAUUACAUGCCAUACCCUGCAAUUCUAAUUACUGAUGACUUAAAUUGAAGCACAGCCUUUUACAUAGGAGUUUUAUGAUCAAGAAUUAAGAAAUUUAAAAAUAUUAUGGGGCCGGUUGAUGGCGCAGCAGUUAAGUUUGCACAUUCCACUUUGAUGGCCCCAGGGUUCACCAGUUCAGAUCC